rnacentral:rRNA from 2 species
AUUGAACGCUGGCGGCAGGCCUAACACAUGCAAGUCGAGCGGUAGCACAGAGAGCUUGCUCUCGGGUGACGAGCGGCGGACGGGUGAGUAAUGUGUGGGAAACUGCCUGAUGGGGGGGGAUAACUACUGGAAACGGUAGCUAAUACCGCAUAACGUCGCGAGAGCCAAGAGGGGGACCUUCUGGCCUCUUGCCAUCAGAUGUGCCCAGAUGGGAUUAGCUAGUAGGUGGGGUAACGGCUCACCUAUGCGACAAUCCCUAUCUGGGCUGAGAGGAUGACCAGCCACACUGGAACUGAGACACGGUCCAGACUCCUACGGGAGGCAGCAGUGGGGAAUAUUGCGCAAUGGGCGCAAGCCUGAUGCACCCAUGCCCCGUGUAUGAAAAAAGCCUUCUGGUUGUAAAGUACUUUCUCCGGGGAGGAAGGCGAUAAGGUUAAUAACCUUGUCGAUUGACGUUACCCGCAGAARAAGCACCGGCUAACUCCGUGCCAGCAGCCGCGGUAAUACAGAGGGUGCAAGCGUUAAUCUCAAUUACUGGGCGUAAAGCGCACGCAGGCGGUCUGUCAAGUCGGAUGUGAAAUCCCCGGGCUCAACCUGGGAACUGCAUUCGAAACUGGCAGGCUAGAGUCUUGUAGAGGGGGGUAGAAUUCCAGGUGUAGCGGUGAAAUGCGUAGAGAUCUGGAGGAAUACCGGUGGCGAAGGCGGCCCCCUGGACAAAGACUGACGCUCAGGUGCGAAAGCGUGGGGAGCAAACAGGAUUAGAUACCCUGGUAGUCCACGCCGUAAACGAUGUCGACUUGGAGGUUGUGCCCU